rnacentral:rRNA from 1 species
UACAGAGGUCCCAAGCGUUGUUCGGAUUCACUGGGCGUAAAGGGUGCGUAGGCGGUCGGGUAAGUCUGACGUGAAAUCUCCAAGCUCAACUUGGAAAUGGCGUCGGAUACUAUUCGGCUUGAGGAGUGGAGGGGAGACUGGAAUUCUCGGUGUAGCAGUGAAAUGCGUAGAUAUCGAGAGGAACACCAGUGGCGAAGGCGAGUCUCUGGACACUUCCUGACGCUGAGGCACGAAAGCCAGGGGAGCAAACGGG